GUGGGGAAUCUUGCGCAAUGGGCGAAAGCCUGACGCAGCCAUGUCGCGUGAAUGAUGAAGGUCUUAGGAUUGUAAAAUUCUUUCACCGGGGACGAUAAUGACGGUACCCGGAGAAGAAGCCCCGGCUAACUUCGUGCCAGCAGCCGCGGUAAUACGAAGGGGGCUAGCGUUGCUCGGAUUUACUGGGCGUAAAGGGCGCGUAGGCGGACAUUUAAGUCAGGGGUGAAAUCCCGGGGCUCAACCUCGGAACUGCCAUUGAUACGGGGUGUCUUGAGUAUGAGAGAGGUGUGUGGAACUCCGAGUGUAGAGGUGAAAUUCGUAGAUAUUCGGAAGAACACCAGUGGCGAAGGCGACACACUGGCUCAUUACUGACGCUGAGGCGCGAAAGCGUGGGGAGCAAACAGGAUUAGAUACCCGAGUAGUCC
rnacentral:rRNA from 1 species